GAAGUCUGAAAUUCGACUUCAUGAAGCUGGAAUUGCUAGUAAUGGCAGGUCAGCAUACUGCCGUGAAUACGUUCCCGGGCCCUUGUACACACCGCCCGUCACACCAUGAGAGUUGGGAAUACCCGAAGCCUGUGAGCUAACUUUUUAAGAGGCAGCAGUCGAAGGUAGAAUCAAUGAUUGGGGUGAAGUCGUAACAAGGUAGC
rnacentral:rRNA from 1 species